CCAAGUUUGCCUUCAAAAGGAGCCGCGGCUUCCCUAGUUCUCCACCUCAUCUUACCAUUCUAGAGGAAAACGAAACAAAACAAAAGACAAAAAACCAAAACCACCUUUAUCCACAUCUCUUUUAGGAAAGUAAAGACCAAAACAAGCAACAAGCCCACCAUGGUCGGGGCCUGGGAAUCCUGACAAGGGCUGCUCGCAGCUGAGUCUGGCUCCUUGUCUGUAUGGCCUUUGACCUUUUGGAUCUUUGCACAAAUCUGCUUGGCCUGAUCCGUCUUCUUACAUCUUCUCAAGACUCUAGACAGGAGGACAAGUCAACUCCCCUCCCCCCACACACGUUAGCUUUAAUUGAUUUGGAAUGGCUGCAUUGAGCCGCCUGUAUCCUGAGUUAGUGGGAAAAGAUACUAUAGUCAACUAGCAAUGUCUGCUGUGGGAAAGAGACAAGAGUCACAGCGUGUGACAAGAGAACUUAGGACUGCAGCAGCUGUCAGCAGAAAGAUUACGUGGAAGCACUCUUGUGCUCCUGCAACGUUGACAUUGAGGCUGCCUGGUAAGCAUGCCUGCUGUAUGCAGAGAUGAGAAGAGGACUUCAGACCUCUUGGAACUGGAAUUAAAAGUAGUUGUGAGCCACCAUGUACAUGCUUGAACCAAGCCCUGAAUUCUCUACAAGAGAAUGCUCUUAAAUGCUAAGCCAUCUCUCCAGUGGAUCUUUGUUUCUUCAAACAAAGUUGACCAGUGGAUCAUCACUGAGCUGCCUGGCAUGUUAGAUCAGUUCACCAUGGCUGGGCAGCAUAUACUGGCCCAGCAUGACCAAGCACACAGCCCUACUGUGAACUCCACGCAUCCUGAAGUCAUCAAGCAUGAACCUCCAAACAACUGGGACCUGUGCAUUCCAGAGAGGCUGGGGUGUGGAAAUACUCAUUCAACCACUAAGAGCGCCCUCAAGUCCUCUAGUUACCUCUGCAAACAGUCUGUAGAAAUGCUACAGACUAGGGUUCAGGACCGUCAUAACUUCUCUUUCAAGUCUAUCUUAGGAGUGGUCGAGAUGGCUCAUCAGGCAGCACUAAUGGAUGAGCCUGACGACCUCAGUUUGAUUCCCCAGGACCCACACGGUAAACGGCUGCUGCAUUGGGACCUUCGUUCUCCCGUUUUCUACCUCAGAGCUUCCAGUCUGGCCUGCUCCCUCCACUGCACAGAAGAGUCCAUGGAGACUCUAGUUAAGAAGAUGAGAAAGGAUGGGGAAAGAACUGGGCAAGAAGAAUUGAAGACAGCCUGUGAGGGGAGCUGUGAGAGUAAACAUGGCCACCAGGGCCGUGAGGCCUCCCGUGGCAGGUUUUGGAUGCAGAUGUGGGACCCAGAACUGGGGAGAGAGAGAGCAGAAUCUAAGUCACACCACACUAAGGCAGGAGAAGGCGGAAUCUAAGUCACACCACCACGCCUUAGGUCUGAGAGCUCCAAGCACUCUGUGCUGUGUGACUCGGGGAAACGCAGAUGUCGAUGUCGCAAUGCUUCCAGGAGCAGGCCUGGAAGAAUGAAGGAGCAGCUUUGUGGGUUCCAGUGCUUCAUCAAACACAUGUGCUUCCAAGUGGCUGGCCAAGACUGGAAUUCCCCAAGAGCAGCCGUGGGGGGGGGGGCCUGAGCAGCCUGCCCGGGCUCACUCCCCCUCUUGUCUCCACUGCCUGCAAUCAGCCUGGGCUGCUUCACUCCCUGGGCCCAGACCUGAAACUCUUAAAGGCUGCCAGCUUCUCUCCCCUCCCCCACCCCCAUCAAUUAUCAAUCCCACCUCCCCUGACCCCUCUCAGAUGUCUCAAAGUCAAUGGAGACCAGCUCUUGCCACUCUGAAGGUCUUAAAACCUCAGCCCAGAGGACACUUCAGAAGGAGGGGAGGACUACUGGGAAGAGAGGGUGGGGCAGAAGGCAGAGGCGGAGGGUCAUUAAUUCUUCCAAGGCCAGUUGGCUCCAGCCUCCAGCAUAGCGGCUCCACUCAUCCCGGGGGCCAGGACUCUGUUUCUGCAGAGUCAUCCUUUCUUGUCCAGAGGGAUCCUGGCCUAAAGCCACAUUCCUGGUGGGGUCUGAAUGUGGCAGGGAACGGAAGUAUCCUUUCUUACCCACCCCCAAAGCACUGCAGCCCCGAGACAAACUGGUUUCUCAGUAGCCUCUGCUGGCCGUAAGCAUUUGCCUCCAUCUUUGUCCAGAUCCUGCAGUCUCUGGCCCUCCUUGAGCCCUGAUCUCUUACGGAGGGAGGUAGCUAGGCAGUGUUCUGAGAGCAGGGGCUUGACCUACGGAGUGCAGGGUCCCAGGGAGAUGUAGAAACUAUUUACCAUCCCUGCAGAGGCCGAGGUGGAUGGGCAGCUAAAUGGCUCAGCUGAUCAGAGCAUUUGCCGACAAAUCUGCCAGCCUGAGUUUAAUCCUGGGAACCCCCAU